rnacentral:lncRNA from 1 species
CCCUCACUCUCUUCUUUCCCUCUCCUUCUGACCGACACGCCGCCAGUGCCCACUCCUCUCCCUUCCCACACCGACACUCCCCUCCUUCCUCUCAUCUCCCCCACCUCAUCCCUCUCCCACUCCGGCACCACUACCUCUCCCUCUCCAAGCAGCGAUGGUAGUUGCGGGAUCCACGACGCGUGGGGUUCGCGUGAUACACGGUGGCUGCGGGAUCCGUGAGAUCCACGACGGCGUGCGGCUCCACGGUCUCACCUCCGUGGCGGCGCGAGAUCCACAUGGCUUCCUCCUCGGCGGCGCUAGGCUCCCUCCAUGGCGCUGGCCUCGCCUCGAUGGGAUCCGUGAUGGAGCGGAGGGAGCUCCUUUCUCGGCGGCUACGAGAUCUACGACGGCGCGGGGCUCCCUCCGAGAUCCACGGCCUCACCUCCGCGGGAUCCAUGACGACGCGAAACUCCUUCCUCGCACGCUGCAAGAUCCACGGUGGCUGCGGGAUCCACGACCUCAACUCUAGCGGCGGCGCAGAUCUAGCGGCCACGACGGAUCCAAUGAGCGGCGGCGGUUGGAUGGACUUUGGCGGGCCUCGUCGAUGGGCUUAGCAGGCCCUAUCGAUGGACUUGUUUUUUUUAUUUUUUUUAUUUUAUUAACCGAGGCGGGCAUCCAAAACGCCUUGAAAAAGGGUUCAAUUAACUGUGACCUUCGAUCUGAGGCGUUUUGGAUGCCCGCCUCAGAAAAUCAUUUUUGCCCGCCUCCAAUAAGUUUAUUUGUAGUAGUGCCUCCGUCACCGCCACCAUGCAGCACCAGCACCUUCGUCUCCCGACUCCGCAGGUGAGCUCGCUUCCACUGUACCGCAUCUAGGGUUUCCUGAUCCUAUCCUCACCUGUUUCUCAUGGAUCUUGGGGCCGCAUCUUCCUCCCCCACUCCGGCCCAUGCAUCCACUUGCGAAUCGCGACAACUCGCACAACUCGUCAUCCGCCGCCCGCCGACCCAAUCGCGAGGACUCCACCAGUACUCCGUGACGCAAGAUUUGGUGGGCAUCUUCACAAAGCUCGCACAACUUGUCUAAUAAUUUUUAAUGGCUAUUUGGAAUUCUUAGGAGGAGCAUGCUAGGAAUUUUCUCAAAGUCGGCCCUUGACUUUUAGAAAGUUCGUGGCAUAUUCCUCCUAAGAGCAUGCUCUCUCUAGUGCAAUAUAUGUUCUAAAGUUGUUCAUCACUUCAUUUCUAAAGAUAUUCUAGUAGUUGUGUGGGACUGCAUGUAUAUAUAUGUUCGUGUGUGUUGUUAGUUCUAGUUUAGGCACUUUCAUUUUUCUUGGUUUAGCUAUUACUUUUGUACAAAAGUACCAUUUUUUUUACUCUGGUUUCUCAAAAAAUUAUCUUAGAUAUCCUUUAGAUUGAAUUUAUUUUAGCAUUCUGUGACUGAUCUUGUGGAGCUUAGAUGACUAACCUGUAGUUGCACCAAUACUUAACAACUUGUCUACAUUUGUAAUUUGCUUGCUGUGGCAUGCCCUUAAGUUGAUGUAUCAAACACUAGAUUAGUUUACUUUAGGUAUGUCUCUGAUAUGACCACGCUAGUAAGCAAGAUGUCACAAGCUCCAAGUCAAACUACAACCACUCAAGUUUUACCUACACCGACACCAGCCCAAGUCAUCGAUGGACCGGUUACACGUAGUCGUGCAAAGAAGCUACAACAAGAGGUCCACGCGCUACUUUGUGAGAUUCAUUUUAACAUUAAUGAGAAUUAUAUACUACCUAAAUAUUCUACCUUGAUUGUACUCAGGUAUAUAGAAGAAGAGAAGGAUGAAUCGGACCCUAAAGAACGAACCAGUGCAAGUCCUAGAAGACACGUCAAAAACGGACCAGUGGAAGUCAAAAACGGACCAGUGCAAAGAAAUCUUCAUAACUUUUUAAUCACAAAAGCUAUGAAGGCCCAUGAGGACUUGUUGGAAAGCUUGUCGAGUCUACUUUCCAAUGAAUCUAGUGGAGACCAGUUUUGACACUCCAUAUUGCCUGCAGACCAGAAUUAGUAUAGACUGCUCAGAAGGUCAACAGUUUGUCGUGAUAGAAUGUUGGUACAACUUUCCAUGCAAAACUGUACCAAUCUACAAUGUUUCGUGGUGCAUGGCAUAUAUUGCUGGAAAGCUCUUCGAGUCUAGUUUCACAUCCUUGAAACGGUUCGUCAUUUGGAGUUUCCGAUUAAAAGUUAUGGUCAGUUUAUUAGAAACUGCUCUGGAGGCCAACAGUCACGCGAAGCCACUUCGGGAAUCUAUUUCGAAGGGACCUUUCACAUUGCCUUCUCUCAGAAACUCUAUUUCGUUUUCAUACCUAUCUAGCAGGGCUGUUGCUAGUAUAAAUAUCCCCUACCUCUAAGCUAUCAGCAACCUUUGAUCAUUUGAUAAACUACAUGAUAUUGCAGCCAUGCUGCUGAGUGCCUUACUCAACCUUUGUUCUUCCUUGUUCUUCAUGGACUUGUGAAGUGAAUCCUCUGGGUUCCCCUACUUCGUGCUCUACGGCUUCCGUUCGGCUGCGCCGUAUUGUGUGGAUUAGUUCUGGAUUGUGGUUCUGCGGUCGUUCGGAGAUCGAGUCGAAGUCUUCGUGGUUUCGGUGCCUCUCUCCCCGUCGCUUGGUCGCAUCCAACCUUUGCCAGGUAUAAAGCUAGUUACCCGCUGUUCGCAGCAAGUUAUCCUUGUUCAUUUGAUCUACUAUCGUGAAGAUCGGGCCACCCUCGUACCGAUUCAUAUUGGUAACCUAUCAACUGGUAUCAAAGCUUUCGUUGUCAUGGUAGAUCUCACAAUCAUCCACAUAUCUACCUUUAGUUUAUUUAUCAUUUGUUACUGUUUUGUUCAUCACCUAUAGUCCACUGAAAAAGCCACACAAAAAAAAUCCUAGAGCCCUUUGACGGUACUGUUAUCUUGUGUUUUGUGUUCAUCAAGUUGCUAGUCACCCUCUUUACAUAUAUUGUGUUGUGUUUCAUUUGUUAUCCCCACCCCUGUUAGUAAAAAAAAAGUGUUCAAAAAAAUCAGAGAAAAGAAAAGAGAAAGAACAGAAAAAGUAGAAGAAGAGGAAAGGGGUUGUAUUGCGGUUUGCUCACUGAAAAAUUCAGUUUACAUAUUCAGAUUCUUGGUGAUCUAUAUACCAGCAACGUUAUAUCUUUUGAGCACAUCAAUCCACUUGAUUUUCAGUACCAUAGCCUCCCUUGUUUAGCCACCUAUAGCUCCACCAAAAACUGAAACCAGGACAUUUGACUCGUAAUCCUUGCGACCUCGGAAUCACUUCUGUUGAGCUGCUACACUAGCACAAUUCACUGUCCUUGAGAACAGGAAAGAGCAUUGGUAAGUAAGAGGUGAGGUUGUGUGAUUCUACAAAUUUACCCAUUCCACUAUAUCUUGCAUAAGUGCUAACAUGCCAGGAUCCAAUUCGAGCGUUCGUGGUGGUCAAUAUGGAGAAAAAGAAACAUCAGUUUCGCGGGCUGAGUUACGCCAACUACAAAUCUCACUAGUGGAGGCCAUGGAGAAGAUGUUUGAUGAACGUCUUCCUAUGGUGCGCGGUCGGGCUAAACAACAUAGCUCAGCCAACUCUCGCCGUGGUCUCUUUGGCCACGGUGGACAACAUGGAGGAGGUGCUUAUGGGCAUAGAAUUCGCCCCCGUGUGCUCAUUGAUGAUGAAGAUUACUGCGUGUCCCCCAAAAGAAAAAUUCAGCAAGAGUGCCACCAACCAAAAUUGAGUGAGAGAAAUCAAAAGGAAAAGAUGAGACAUUCCACCAUACGUGAGAAAGAGUGGCACCAACCAAAAUUCAGUGAGAGAGUUCAAAAUAAGAAGAUGAGAGAUUCCACAAUAUUUGAGGAGAGCCACAAAACUCUAUGUGAGAGUGAUCCACAAAAAUUGAGAGAAAAAAGAGAUGAAUCAUGUGAGGAAUUAUUUACUUCUAACAUCAUAAUACCUUCUAUUCUUGUUCCUUUUGCGAUGCAGGUUCAUGAAGAAAAUGAUGUUGUGAAUUAUGAUCAGCCCCCAAUCUUUGAUGAGGAAGAACAAGUGAUUGUCAAUGACAACGAUACACAUGCAUAUGUGGCUUCACAAAAUGUUGAAGUCAUUGUGCAUCAAAACCUAUGUGAGAAUGAGAGCCACAUUGCCAAAAUGAGAGAGAGUGAAAACAAAGGAGAGUUGAGUGAUUCCACCCACUAUAAGGUUGAGAGUGUCAACAAUGAGAGUGUGAGGGAUACACCAGAGAAAAAUAGAUAUUUAGAAUGCAGGCCAAGUGAGGAUAUCUUUGAAACUAACACUCUCAUCUCUACUUCUAGUUUUGUCUUUCCAAAUGUGCAGGUUGGUGAUGAGACUAGAGAAGAGAUGGAUGCUAAAGACAACACCAUACUUGUUGAGAGAAAUCAGAAGGUAGCCAUUCAACUAAACUCAUUGUGUGUUGCCCAAAACCUGAACCAUGACAUGGAUAACGGUAAGAUUUCAGAGGUGCAAUCAUUGGUACUUGCACCACCAAAAAGUCUAAAAGUUAUUGAAAAUAAAUCAGAUUUGAGUUUGCAAAAUAAAAUGGCAUGUAAUUAUGAUAAUACACAUGGUUUAAAUGGGAUUAACCAUACACGAAAUAUUUGCACUGAUUUGAUUAUUUCAUAUGUUCACCCGUGUGCUAAAAUUUUACAAGUUGAUAAACAAAGUUCAAUCAUAUAUGAUCUUUUCUAUGGUUUGAUAUGGUUCAUAUACGUGAUGAUUUGCAUUCAUAUGUGUGACACGAUGCAUUAUGUUUCAAUGCUCAUACAUCUUAGAGAUGGCUGCACAUUUCUCAACCCUUUAGUUAAUUCAUCAAAACCAUCUAAGAUCAACAAUGAAGGUAAAAAUUCAGAUAUUCAAACCUUAGUACAUGUAGAAUCAUUGGAUUUAAAAUACAUGAAAAAUAAAUCAAAUCUGAUUGUUCAACGCAUACUAAGUACUUGUGAUAUCACUGUUUCAGCAAUAAAACAUAACCAAAACAUUUGUGCUGAUUUGACUGGAACUCAUGUUGAUACAAGUGCUGAAUUUCUUUUUGAUGAGAGUCUUUGUGCUUUGAAUGAUCCUUGCAACACUUCAUAUAACAACAAACAAUACCUCAUCCAGUCGAUUAUUUGUGCUGAUUUGUUUACAACGAUAUCUCCUCUUGAAUGUUUGUGUUAUACUAUGCUUAACAUGCCUAUCAAUAUUGAACAAAUGCUUGAGAAAAUUUCUAACAUAACAUCUUUGAGUUCAAUGAAUACUACUCAUAGCUUCCAGUUUACAUUUGUCUUGAUUGGAGAACAUGUUGUAGAUACCUUCCAGGUUCAUGCAAUUUGUGUAACAUAUAACAAGCUUGCUGAUUUAGACUCAAAAAUGUUGAGAGAUAAACAAAGUGAGAAAUCUUUUAAGAUGCAACAAAUACUUGGUGCUUAUGGUUUCGAUCAAUUCAUGUUGUCAGCAUGUUCGUACCAUCCACUUAAAGAUAGAAAUUUUGUGCAAAGCAAAGCCUAUACACCAAAAAGUUGUUCAUCCACACCUUGGAGCAUUGAGUUUAAAAAUUAUACUUCUAAACCCUUGAAUAAAUUUUGCUGCCACAAUAAUUUUUGGAAUAACAUUAGUUCUCAACAUCCAUUUGAUGAAAAGUUUGAUCUUCUAAAAAUAAAACAUGAUAACAUGAAUCAAAUGAUUGGAUUGGAAGAAAUUUUUGUGCUUCCAUACUCUAAACUGUUUGCAGGUUCACCAAAGAUGAGAGAAUGUUUUAUACAUGGAAAAGGAAAUAAUGCAAAAAUAAUUCAAAAUGAAACAAAUGAACAGAACAAAAGGAAUGAUUAUUGGAAUUAUCAAGUACGUCCACCCUCUAUUUUGUCUAAGCUGUUUUUAGGUAAACAAAAGUCGUGGACGACUUUUCUUGAAGAGAGGGAGGAUGACGAGACCAUACCAGGGCAAUCAACAUUCAAGCAUCCACUUAAGGUGAAAGCUAAACAUAAUUCCAAAUCAUUUAGGUUUCCACAUUCAAGGCUACUACUUGGUUUAUAUGAUUAUAGAUUCAAACACCUUGCUAUCAUGGAACAAGAAGAUUGCGAUGUUAUCACAACAUUACAAACCGAUGUCCUAGCACAACUCUUUGGAUCAGAAGAGUUAGAGUCGAGGACGACUCCUUUUCAAGAAGGGGAGGAUGAUAUGACCACGCUAGUAAGCAAGAUGUCACAAGCUCCAAGUCAAACUACAACCACUCAAGUUUUACCUACACCGACACCAGCCCAAGUCAUCGAUGGACCGGUUACACGUA